UACAGAAGCCUCAAGCGUUACCCGGAUUCCCUGGGCGUAAAGGGUGCGUAGGCGGUUAUAUUAGUCGGAUGUUAAAUCCUGGGGCUCAACCCCAGGCUCGCAUUCCAAACGGUAUAACUAGAAGGAGUGAGAGGUAAACAGAACUCAUGGUGUAGGGGUGAAAUCCGUUGAUAGCAUGGGGAAUACCAAAUGCGAAGGCAGGUUACUGGCACUUUCUUGACGCUGAGGCACGAAAGCGUGGGGAGCAAACAGG
rnacentral:rRNA from 1 species